rnacentral:lncRNA from 1 species
GGAGAUCUCAAGAGCAGUUGGAGAAAUCAAAAACUAAAGAAAACUGAGCCUGGAACGGGAAGCCUUGUUUUUGAACCUUGAAAGAAGUCAGCAGCUGAGACAGUGUGGUUAUCACGGCUUAGCUGGAGAAUGUCCAACCCUGCCAUCAGGGCUGUGGUCAAGUGACACUGAUUCUGCCCUACACUGUCUUCCAUGACAGCCUUGGCCCCCACAUGCAGCAGCACCUGGAGAAAGCACUCAGAAGCUGAAAGGACGGCGGUGGACAGAGAAGGGAGCAGAGCAUCUGUAAGAGAAACCUAGAGAACCUGGCACAGCGGAGCCAUCUGUUUUCUGGAGUUGAGAACUUUUCCACGGAUAGCCAUUUAGUCAAGUCAAAGGUGUUCGAAGCUCUGAUAGACACUGAAGAACCCAUAUGCUGGAGGCCCCUGGGCUGCAGCCCCCCAUUGCUCUACAGUCACCCCUCUUCCUCCUCCUCUUCCCUAGCAGAGUCACCUAUGCACGGC